GCCCGGGUGGUGGAAGUGGUAGACGCCAGGGAUUUAAAAUCCCUUGACCUUCGGGUCGUGCGGGUUCAAGUCCCGCCCUGGGCACCA
rnacentral:tRNA from 1 species